GACGAACGCUGGCGGCGUGCCUAAUAAAUGCAAGUAGAACGCAGUUGCGAACGGGUGAGUAACGAGUCGGUAACUGCCUGGUAGCGGGGGAGAACUAUUGGAAACGAUAGCUAAUACCGCAUACUACCAGAUGGACCUGCGUUGUAUUAGCUGGUUGGUGGGGGAACGGCGCACCAAGGCAACGAUACAUAGCCGAACUGAGAGGGUGAACGGCCACACUGGGACUGAGACACGGCCCAGACUCCUACGGGAGGCAGCAGUAGGGAAUCUUCGGCAAUGGACGGAAGUCUGACCGAGUAACGCCGCGGGAGUGAAGAAGGUUUUCGGAUCGUAAAGCUCUGUUGUAAGAGAAGCGGUAUCUUACCAGAAAGGGACGGCUAACUACGUGCCAGCAGCCGCGGUAAUUC
rnacentral:rRNA from 1 species